UACGAAGGGGGCUAGCGUUGUUCGGAAUCACUGGGCGUAAAGCGCACGCAGGCGGAUCGUUAAGUCAGGGGUGAAAUCCCGAGGCUCAACCUCGGAACUGCCUUUGAUACUGGCGAUCUUUGAGUCCGGGAGAGGUGAGUGGAACUCCGAGUGUAGAGGUGAAAUUCGUAGAUAUUCGGAAGAACACCAGUGGCGAAGGCGGCUCACUGGCCCGGUACUGACGCUCAUGCGCGAAAGCGUGGGGAGCAAACAGG
rnacentral:rRNA from 1 species